CCUGGCAAACGUCGUCGCGCGCUCCGCGUCCACAUAUCCCCGCGGCGUCGCCCGCAACUCCCUAAUUACAGGAUCGAUUCCACGUGAUAAGGAAGAACGAAUCAGCAGCAAAACCUCGUGUCGCUGCUCCUUCCCCUCCACCCGUGCACUUCCCCCCAUCCACCCCACCUCCGGUCGCCGCCUGCGCUCCUGCAAGCCGUCGCCGACCUCCGUUCAGCCGUACCCAACGCCCUCCUCCUCCGUUCUCUCUCCCUCUCCUCGCUGAUCUCUCUCCCUCUCUUUGUUCCCGUGCAGGACGCCAUGGCCAUGGACGAAAGCUCCGCCGGACCUUCCAUCAUGACUGCCAGCCUUCCUCCCGACCAGAUCACCGACGCGGCUGCUGUGAUCCGGGCUGGCCACCGUCCUAUUUUGCGGGUUCGUGGCCACGUUUUCCUACUAGACCACGACCGCCACUUCCUGCUAGAUUAGCGGACAGGGAGAAGAAGGAAGAAGUUGCAGUAAUCAUAAGUGUGGUGAACCAGGCAGGGGACACAGGAUGAUGAGUAUGAAUCAUGAGAUAAACUUCAACUGAAAAAACAGGAUUCUGAGGUGAUAUAUACUCUCAAAGGCAUGAAUACAGGUAUGUCAUAAUACUCCAGGUGAGAUAUAUGCAGGUGUUAUGGAUUGUGGUUUCAAGGAAAACAAUUAUGGAACUCAAUAUGCAGCCGCUAAGUUUCUGAAGCUUGAUCGACAUCUUUUAUCAAUUGUUAACUAGUACUAGGAUUCUCAUGCAUGUCUACUGCUAUUUACGAAACUAAAGACAUGAUGGUUCCAUUUGGGACGAAAAAGAAAAGUAGCACCAGUGUGUAAACCCAAUGCUUAGGUGAUUAACUGCGGAUCAAACAAUUUUUAUCCCCUGUUUGCGCAAUAUGUAAGUACACAUGGUUAUUGGUCAGGGACCUUCUUGGCAUAUGUAGAUUUUCUGCGUUCUGAAUUUUUAGCCCUUGUGAUUCUUGUAGGUUAUGCUUUAUUCAGGCGUAUAACUUGACUUCCAUUGCUCUACAUUUUACUUAUAUCGCAUAUUUGACACUUUGUACAAUCUGCAGUUAAUUACUAAAUCCCCAGAGUUGCAAAGGAGUUCUACAUUAUUUCAUUAGUGCAUUUAGAGCAUGUCAAAUGGAAGUACAAGUUAUUUAGGGGUAAAAUCAACUUCCCUCUGAAGUCUGCUGCUGGUCAGGCUCUUUUAUAUGGUGGUCUGACCUGGUCACACUCUUUCGACAGUCAAUACAUAUUUUCUCUUGGGGCCAACAAGAAAGGAUUUCUUCCGCCAACAUAACAAAGAACCCAUUGGGUGGAUGCAACACCCGAAUGCCUUUUUGACUAAGUCAUUUUAAUUAACUAAUUACAAUGGCGGAGCUAGAUGGGGAUAGCUCAAGAGGCAAAGGGAAAAUACAUAAAUUCUUGAGCGGUCCAAAGACUAAAAUAUGUUGAAUUAAGCACCCGAAGAGAUUUUUUAUUCACAAUUUUUCUCAAGGUUGGGGGUUUAAUGUAAGUUUCUCUGCUAUUAAAACUGCAACUUUCCAUCCUGAUUAUGUCCAUGAUUAAGUUUUGGGUGUGGGCACCGGUAGGAGAUCAAGCACUCCGUCCUCUGUCAGUUGCUGGCAAACGAGGUCGAGGCUGCAUGGAGCACUGGUCUCCUCCCUGCUGCCAGCGACGCCCUCCUGUCUCCUCUGCACCAGUCUACUCCUUCAUGUCUCUCUCCCUCUCAAUCUCCUCUUUCUGUUGUUUGUUUUCUCUAUCUCACAUAGAAAAGCUCUUGAUCCACCAAAACACUGAAUAAUGUGCAUAUUUGCUACCCUAGGAAAGAAGGACGUAAAACUGAACUACAAACAUAUGUAGUGUAGAGCAUCCAGGAUAAAGGGUUGUGGAUGUCCCAUUGCUGCAUGAACUGAACCAAGGAUGUUUAGCAACUAAUUUCUUUUUUUUUUGUGGCAUCAACACGAGGAUGGGAUUCAUAAUUGAGAACAUCAUGUGUUCAUAAUAUAUUUUUUGUGGUAGCAACUGAACCAAGGAUGCUCAUGGCAAGUUUAAUCGCAAUAUAAAUCAUUUGGUUUGGAAACACACCUGCUAAAAAAUAGAUUGAUCUUUUCUUAAAAUCUUCAACCUUCUAUGUAAACCAGUUCUCCUUUGUAUCAUAUCCGAGAUCCAUCUAGAUUAUAUCUGAUUUUAGUGAUAUAUAAAUCAAAAUUGAUUUAUUCACUCUUUGGUAAGCACUUACACAUUUGAUCGUUCUGGCGUUCUGUUUUAUGUGGUUUGAUUUUAUCAACCUAAUUCGGCCUUUCUUUUGCAGAUUAUUUACAAAAGAAAAUGGUUUGGGCGGAAGAGUUGAAGGCCUGAAGCCAAAUGUUCCUAAUCAAGAAGAUGACCUGCACAACUCCCGUGAAACAAGGCCAAUGCUAUGUGCCAAGAUUAAGGAUUGCAAAUAUGUUUACUUUGGUCCAAUAUCGUAUAGCAGUGUAAUGCUUCAUGCAGGCACUUUUUAUCAUUCAUUUUUAUUAUUCAAAUCUCUAUAUGGUUGUCAUAGAUGCUGCUAUUACACGGGUUUAUUACUAUUUUUCAUGUGUUGUUGAAAAUAGAAUUCACUCAUAUAUUUGUCUACGG